rnacentral:rRNA from 1 species
UAGCGAAGGGGGCUAGCGUUGUUCGGAAUUACUGGGCGUAAAGGGCGCGUAGGCGGCUUCUGAUCGGUCGGAUGUGAAAGGCCUGGGCUCAACCUGGGAAUGGCAUCCGAUACGGCGGGGCUGGAGUGUGGGAGAGGUUGGUGGAAUUCCUGGUGUAGCGGUGAAAUGCGCAGAUAUCAGGAGGAACACCGGUGGCGGAAGGCGGAUCUCUGGGCCAUUACUGACGCUGAGGAAGCGAAAGCGUGGGGAGCGAACAGG